rnacentral:rRNA from 1 species
AUGGACGAUUUGACGCUGGGUCAGCUUGCUCCUUCGGAUGACUUGGCAGACUCCGCGGCCACCGCGACCGCGGACAUUUUGGACAACUCGGCGACUGCUACCACUGAAGUAGUGGUUUCCUCGGCGACCGCGGAUCCCUCGUCGACGACUACCAUGGACAUUGCGGACCCCUCGGAGCCCGCGACCGCGGACAUGGUGGAUCCCUUAGCGGCCACGGCGGCACACUCGGCGUAUGCGGCUCCUUCUUCACCGACAGCGGCGUCUUCAUGCAUGACUCCAUCUGAGAGUGUCGGGGAGGGGAUUGCUACUCCACCCUCAUCCCCUCCUCCGGCAACGAAUCUUGUGUGA